GCCGGGGUGCCCGAGCGGACCAAGGGGGUGGGCUCGAGACCAUUCCAGCGAGACGAGCGACCCACUGUCCUCCAAGGACACACGGGUUCAAAUCCCGUCCCCGGCG
rnacentral:tRNA from 1 species